rnacentral:lncRNA from 1 species
CAUGUCUGGUGGGGAGGGAGACUUUUAGACUUGCACUUCUAUUGAAUACUGACUGAAUGUUUUCCUUUACCAGAUUGUUUCAAUUCAUAUCCUAUCUGGAGCAAAAGGCUUUGUCUGAAGCUGUCAUGACGUCGCUAGCUGAAACUGCCAGAGGAUUUUUGUUGGACCUGAACUUCUCUAUGGUGGAAAUAGCUCCUGAGCACUGAAUCACAGCAGUACAAGAGCAGAGCAGUUUUACAGUUUUAUCUCCUCUGCAGGCAAACAUUCCUUCUCCUACAGAUCACCAUAAGGGGUGCUGCAGAGCCUGGGAAGGCAGCUCGUGCCACUCAUCUCACGCUUCCUGGGCUCCCCUGCAGCACGGGCCAGGCAACACCAACGUUCCCAGGUGGCAGGAGUCCCACCACGGAGGGGACAGGAGCUCUGGGAUCUGCUCAGCAGUGCCCCAGCCCAGAGCAGCACCAGGUAAGUGCUCCCCUAGCCCACAGGGGGA